UACGGAGGGUGCAAGCGUUAUCCGGAUUCACUGGGUUUAAAGGGUGUGUAGGCGGGCAUUUAAGUCAGUGGUGAAAUCUCCAGGCUCAACCUGGAAACUGCCAUUGAUACUAUUUGUCUUGAAUAUCGUUGAGGUAGGCGGAAUAUAUCAUGUAGCGGUGAAAUGCUUAGAUAUGAUAUAGAACACCGAUUGCGAAGGCAGCUUGCUAAACGAUUAUUGACGCUGAGGCACGAAAGCGUGGGGAUCAAACAGG
rnacentral:rRNA from 2 species